UACGUAGGCAGCGAGCGUUGUUCGGAAUUACUGGGCGUAAAGAGUGUGUAGGCGGUGUUCCAAGUUCGGUGUGAAAUCUCCCGGCUUAACUGGGAGGGUGCGCCGAAAACUGGAAUGCUCGAGCGUGGGAGAGGAAAGCGGAAGUUCCUGGUGUAGCGGUGAAAUGCGUAGAUAUCAGGAGGAACACCAGCGGUGUAGACGGCUUUCUGGACCAUUGCUGACGCUGAGACACGAAAGCGUGGGUAGCAAACAGG
rnacentral:rRNA from 1 species